CCAAUAGCGUAUAUUAAAGUUGUUGCAGUUAAAAAGCUCGUAGUUGAAUUUCGGGGUUAGUAGGUUGGUCAUGCCUCUGGUAUGUACUGGUCUCACUGAUUCCUCCUUCCUGAUGAACCUUAAUGCCAUUAAUUUGGUGUUUUGGGGAAUUUGGACUGUUACUUUGAAAAAAUUAGAGUGUUUAAAGCAAGCUAACGCUUGAAUACAUUAGCAUGGAAUAAUGAAAUAGGACGUUCGAUCCUAUUUUGUUGGUUUCUAGGAUUGACGUAAUGAUUAAUAGGGUUAUUUGGUGGCAUUAGUAUUCAAUUGUCAGAGGUGAAAUUCUUGGAUUUAUUGAAGACUAACUACUGCGAAAGCAUUUGCCAAGGAUGUUUUCAUUAAUCAAGAACGAAAGUUAGGGGAUCGAAGACGAUCAGAUACCGUCGUAGUCUUAACCAUAAACUAUGCCGACUAGGGAUCGGAUGAUGUUAAUUUUUUAAUGACUCAUUCGGCGCCUUACG
rnacentral:rRNA from 1 species